rnacentral:rRNA from 1 species
UACGUAGGGGGCAAGCGUUGUCCGGAUUUAUUGGGCGUAAAGAGCGUGUAGGCGGCCAUACAGGUCCGUUGUGAAAACUCGAGGCUCAACCUCGAGACGUCGAUGGAAACCGUAUGGCUAGAGUCCGGAAGAGGAGAGUGGAAUUCCUGGUGUAGCGGUGAAAUGCGCAGAUAUCAGGAAGAACACCCGUGGCGAAGGCGGCUCUCUGGGACGGUACUGACGCUGAGACGCGAAAGCGUGGGGAGCAAACGGG